rnacentral:rRNA from 1 species
UACAGAGGGUGCAAGCGUUAAUCGGAAUUACUGGGCGUAAAGCGCGCGUAGGUGAUUUGUUAAGUUGGAUGUGAAAUCCCCGGGCUCAACCUGGGAACUGCAUUCAGGACUGGGAAACUCGAGUCUGGGAGAGGGUGGUGGAAUUUCCGGUGUAGCGGUGAAAUGCGUAGAUAUCGGAAGGAACAUCAGUGGCGAAGGCGACCGCCUGGCCUAAGACUGACACUGAGGCACGAAAGCGUGGGGAGCAAACAGGAUUAGAAACCCUAGUAGU